rnacentral:rRNA from 1 species
GUGGGGAAUAUUGCACAAUGGGCGCAAGCCUGAUGCAGCAACGCCGCGUGAGGGAUGACGGCCUUCGGGUUGUGAACCUCUUUUAGUAGGGAAGAAGCGAAAGUGACGGUACCUGCAGAAAAAGCACCGGCUAACUACGUUCCAGCAGCCGCGGUAAUACGUAGGGUGCAAGCGUUGUCCGGAAUUAUUGGGCGUAAAGAGCUCGUAGGCGGCUUGUCGCGUCUGCUGUGAAAUCCCGGGGCUCAACCCCGGGCCUGCAGUGGGUACGGGCAGGCUAGAGUGCGGUAGGGGAGAUUGGAAUUCCUGGUGUAGCGGUGGAAUGCGCAGAUAUCAGGAGGAACACCGAUGGCGAAGGCAGAUCUCUGGGCCGCUACUGACGCUGAGGAGCGAAAGCAUGGGGAGCGAACAGGAUUAGAAACCCUAGUAGUCC